rnacentral:rRNA from 1 species
UACGUAGGGUGCGAGCGUUAAUCGGAAUUACUGGGCGUAAAGCGUGCGCAGGCGGUUCGUUGUGUCGGUGGUGAAAGCCCAGGGCUUAACCCUGGAAUUGCCUUUAAGACUGCAUCGCUAGAAUCGUGGAGAGGUAAGUGGAAUUCCGAGUGUAGAGGUGAAAUUCGUAGAUAUUCGGAAGAACACCAGUGGCGAAGGCGACUUACUGGACACGUAUUGACGCUGAGGUGCGAAAGCGUGGGGAGCGAACAGG